GGAGAACUCAAGACUGUGAUGAGAACUGAACCAAUGUUAGUAAAUUCCUGCCAAACAUGACUAGAAGCAUCUGCCAGAUGAAAGGCUCGCACGGAGAACCGUACGCUGUGCAUUAGGAGCAGCAGAGAUCCUCUGGGAUCUGAACAGAGAAGGACUGUUUGAGAUGUGCACUCUAUGCUUGUCAAAGAGAAGCAGAGUGGAAACAGUUUCUCAGUGGAGAGUUUGGGACAGAUUAUAAUUUCAGAUGUGUGUCAGGCCAAUGCAAUAUGCCAGUGAAAAUGUCUUCAAGCAGGCAGCAAUGGCUGGACCAGAGUCAGGCCCUCACACCAGCUGAACUUUAGCAGGGUUGAAUAAAAAGGUGAGAAUCUCUACUUCUCUAAGCA
rnacentral:lncRNA from 1 species